UAAUACUGAGGGUGCAAGCGUUAAUCGGAAUUACUGGGCGUAAAGCGAGUGUAGGCGGCUAUGUAAGUCGGAUGUGAAAGCCCCGGGCUCAACCUGGGAAUUGCAUUCGAAACUGCAUAGCUAGAGUUUGAUAGAGGUAAGUGGAAUUCCGGGUGUAGCGGUGAAAUGCGUAGAUAUCCGGAGGAACAUCAGUGGCGAAGGCGGCUUACUGGAUCAAAACUGACGCUGAGGCUCGAAAGCGUGGGGAGCAAACAGGAUUAGAUACCCUGGUAGUCCACGCCCUAAACGAUGUCAACUAGACGUUGGGUUCAUCAAAGAACUUAGUGUCGAAGCUAACGCGUUAAGUUGACCGCCUGGGGAGUACGGCCGCAAGGUUG
rnacentral:rRNA from 1 species